rnacentral:lncRNA from 1 species
UGGGAUUUAACUCAUUGUGUGGGGGAGGGCAGCAGUGGGUUGAUCCAAGGUGUAACAUGGAAAAUAAUCUUCCAAAAAAAAAAAAAAAAAAGUGGUGUAUGGGGGGGAGCAGUUUCUCUCUUAGGACCUCGUCUGUUCUUUUUGCUUCUAAAGCUGCAGCCUCUGGGUAUGGAAAGGUAGAAUCCAUUUCUUGAAAAUUUGCCAUGAAAAUAUCCAUAAUAUUUUGUCUUGCAGGAUGCGUUUCUUGAAGAGUUGGGCCUAGCAAUAUGGCAGCGCACAUUCGAUAAGAAAUCUUGUAAAGUGCUGCUACUGAGUUCGCCCCUGAAGAAGUGCACAGAGCAUGUAUGUGUGCAUGAUACAGCUCUGUUCGGCGUCCAGGACCACAUGCUCUCCCACCCGUUUCCUUGGCCACUCUACACACUUUGCAGGGCCAGAACUCUCAGUUCUGGGAAUUCUCCUGAAUUGUGUUUAGGAUCCUACAUAAAAAUUGUCCUGAUUUUUCAAAGACGCUGA